CCUACGGGAGGCAGCAGUGGGGAAUAUUGGACAAUGGGGGGAACCCUGAUCCAGCCAUGCCGCGUGUGUGAAGAAGGCCCUCGGGUUGUAAAGCACUUUCAGUGAGGAAGAACGCCUGGUGGUUAAUACCCAUCAGGAAAGACAUCACUCACAGAAGAAGCACCGGCUAACUCCGUGCCAGCAGCCGCGGUAAUACGGAGGGUGCGAGCGUUAAUCGGAAUUACUGGGCGUAAAGCGCGCGUAGGUGGCUUGAUAAGCCGGUUGUGAAAGCCCCGGGCUCAACCUGGGAACGGCAUCCGGAACUGUCAAGGUAGAGUGCAGGAGAGGAAGGUAGAAUUCCCGGUGUAGCGGUGAAAUGCGUAGAGAUCGGGAGGAAUACCAGUGGCGAAGGCGGCCUUCUGGACUGACACUGACACUGAGGUGCGAAAGCGUGGGUAGCAAACAGGAUUAGAUACCCUUGUAGUC
rnacentral:rRNA from 1 species